rnacentral:rRNA from 1 species
AAGCGUACUCGGUGCCUAUACAUGCAAGUCGUACAAGGUAGCCGUAACUUGCUCCUUUGACGUUAGCGGCGGACGGGUGAGUAACACGUGGGUAACCUACCUAUAAGACUGGGAUAACUUCGGGAAACCGGAGCUAAUACCGGAUAAUAUUUCGAACCGCAUGGUUCGAUAGUGAAAGAUGGUUUUGCUAUCACUUAUAGAUGGACCCGCGCCGUAUUAGCUAGUUGGUAAGGUAACGGCUUACCAAGGCGACGAUACGUAGCCGACCUGAGAGGGUGAUCGGCCACACUGGAACUGAGACACGGUCCAGACUCCUACGGGAGGCAGCAGUAGGGAAUCUUCCGCAAUGGGCGAAAGCCUGACGGAGCAACGCCGCGUGAGUGAUGAAGGUCUUCGGAUCGUAAAACUCUGUUAUUAGGGAAGAACAUACGUGUAAGUAACUAUGCACGUCUUGACGGUACCUAAUCAGAAAGCCACGGCUAACUACGUGCCAGCAGCCGCGGUAAUACGUAGGUGGCAAGCGUUAUCCGGAAUUAUUGGGCGUAAAGCGCGCGUAGGCGGUUUUUUAAGUCUGAUGUGAAAGCCCACGGCUCAACCGUGGAGGGUCAUUGGAAACUGGAAAACUUGAGUGCAGAAGAGGAAAGUGGAAUUCCAUGUGUAGCGGUGAAAUGCGCAGAGAUAUGGAGGAACACCAGUGGCGAAGGCGACUUUCUGGUCUGUAACUGACGCUGAUGUGCGAAAGCGUGGGGAUCAAACAGGAUUAGAUACCCUGGUAGUCCACGCCGUAAACGAUGAGUGCUAAGUGUUAGGGGGUUUCCGCCCCUUAGUGCUGCAGCUAACGCAUUAAGCACUCCGCCUGGNGAGUACGACCGCAAGGGUUGAAACUCAAAGGAAAUUGACGGGGGACCCGCACAAGCGGUUGGAGCAUGUGGGUUUAAUUCNGAAGCAACGCGAAAAAACCUUACCAAAUCUUUGACAUCCUUUUGACAACUCUAAGAGAUAGAAGCUUUCCCCUUUCGGGGGGACAAAAGUGACCAGGUGGGUGCCAUGGUUUGUCCCCCAGCUCNCUGGGCCUUGGAGAUGUUAGGGUUAAAAUCCCCGCAACCGGCGGCAAUCCCUUUAAGCCUAAAGUUGCCAAUCCUUUAAAGUUUGGGGCCCGUCUUAAAAUUUGAACUUGCCCGGGNGACANAACCNGGNGNGGAAAGGUGUGGAGGGAUAGACCGCCCCAACACUUNACAAUGCCCCUCUUUAAUGAUUUGUGGGCCAAACCACUCUGGCCUACCAUAUGUCA